rnacentral:rRNA from 1 species
UACAGAGGGGGCAAGCGUUGUUCGGAAUUACUGGGCGUAAAGGGUGUGUAGGCGGUUCUUUAAGUUUGGUGUGAAAUCUCCCGGCUCAACCGGGAGGGUGCGCCGAAUACUGAGGGACUAGAGUGCGGGAGAGGAAAGUGGAAUUCCUGGUGUAGCGGUGAAAUGCGUAGAUAUCAGGAGGAACACCGGUGGUGUAGACGGCUUUCUGGACCGUAACUGACGCUGAGACACGAAAGCGUGGGUAGCAAACAGG